AUCGCUUCUUGGCCUUUUGGCUAAGUUAGUUUCUGUUUGUAUCGGUUUAACCUUUGAUAGAGAUUCGAAUGAAUCUCGUUGAGGUUAUUCGAUUUUUUCGGAGCUUGCCCGUAUUGCAGAACAAGCAGGAUCCUUU
rnacentral:snRNA from 1 species